rnacentral:sRNA from 1 species
CCUGAUCCCGAACUCCCUGUGCAGAGACCAGACUCGCCCGAAUACGGGGAGAAAAAUGAGCCGCGUGCAGCAGGGGCCGCCUCGGUCCCCUGCCUGCUCCGCCCACGGCGAGCGUUCCUGGGGCCUCGGGUUUCCCCCCUUCCGCUGGCUGCUCGGAAUCGCGGGACGGACCCACCUGGCCGCCCUGCCUCCCUUCCAGUGGGUCCUGGCCUUCGAGAUCUUCAUCCCCCUGGUGCUGUUCUUUAUCCUGCUGGGGCUGCGGCAGAAGAAGCCCACCAUCUCCGUGAAGGAAGCCUUCUACACAGCGGCGCCCCUGACGUCUGCCGGCAUCCUGCCUGUCAUGCAAUCGCUGUGCCCGGACGGCCAGCGGGACGAGUUCGGCUUCCUGCAGUACGCCAACUCCACGUGAGUGCCCACCCGCCCCUCGGAGCACCCACCCCUCCCCAGCCCAUCCAGUGAGUGACAUCCGCCAUGGUGCAGGGUCACGCAGCUGCUUGAGCGCCUGGACCGCGUGGUAGAGGAAGGCAACCUGUUCGACCCAGCGCGGCCCAGCCUGGGCUCAGAGCUCGAGGCCCUGCGCCAGCAUCUGGAGGCCCUCAGUGCGGGCCCGGGCACCUCGGGGAGCCACCUGGACAGAUCCACAGUGUCUUCCUUCUCUCUGGACUCGGUGGCCAGAAACCCGCAGGAGCUCUGGCGUUUCCUGACGCAAAACUUGUCGCUGCCCAAUAGCACGGCCCAAGCCCUCUUGGCCGCCCGUGUGGACCUGCCCGAGGUCUACCACCUGCUCUUUGGUCCCUCAUCUGCCCUGGAUUCACAGUCUGGCCUCCACAAGGGUCAGGAGCCCUGGAGCCGCCUAGGGGGCAAUCCCCUGUUCCGAAUGGAGGAGCUGCUGCUGGCUCCUGCCCUCCUGGAGCAGCUCACCUGCACGCCGGGCUCGGGGGAGCUGGGCCGGAUCCUCACUGUGCCUGAGAGUCAGAAGGGAGCCCUGCAGGGCUACCAGGAUGCUGUCUGCAGUGGGCAGGCUGCUGCGCGUGCCAGGCGCUUCUCUGGGCUGUCUGCUGAGCUCCGGAACCAGCUGGACAUGGCCAAGGUCUCCCAGCAGCUGGGCCUGGAUGCCCCCAACGGCUCGGACUCCUCGCCACAGGCGCCACCCCCACGGAGGCUGCAGGCGCUUCUGGGGGACCUGCUGGAUGCCCAGAAGGUUCUGCAGGAUGUGGAUGUCCUGUCGGCCCUGGCCCUGCUACUGCCCCAGGGUGCCUGCACUGGCCGGACCCCCGGACCCCCAGCCAGCGGUGCGGGUGGGGCGGCCAAUGGCACUGGGGCAGGGGCAGUCAUGGGCCCCAACGCCACCGCUGAGGAGGGCGCACCCUCUGCUGCAGCACUGGCCUCCCCGGACACGCUGCAGGGCCAGUGCUCAGCCUUCGUACAGCUCUGGGCCGGCCUGCAGCCCAUCUUGUGUGGCAACAACCGCACCAUUGAACCCGAGGCGCUGCGGCGGGGCAACAUGAGCUCCCUGGGCUUCACGAGCAAGGAGCAGCGGAACCUGGGCCUCCUCGUGCACCUCAUGACCAGCAACCCCAAAAUUCUGUACGCGCCUGCGGGCUCUGAGGUCGACCGCGUCAUCCUCAAGGCCAACGAGACUUUUGCCUUUGUGGGCAACGUGACUCACUAUGCCCAGGUCUGGCUCAACAUCUCGGCGGAGAUCCGCAGCUUCCUGGAGCAGGGCAGGCUGCAGCAACACCUGCGCUGGCUGCAGCAGUAUGUAGCAGAGCUGCGGCUGCACCCCGAGGCACUGAACCUGUCGCUGGAUGAGCUGCCGCCGGCCCUGAGACAGGACAACUUCUCGCUGCCCAGUGGCAUGGCCCUCCUGCAGCAGCUGGAUACCAUUGACAACGCGGCCUGCGGCUGGAUCCAGUUCAUGUCCAAGGUGAGCGUGGACAUCUUCAAGGGCUUCCCCGACGAGGAGAGCAUUGUCAACUACACCCUCAACCAGGCCUACCAGGACAACGUCACUGUUUUUGCCAGUGUGAUCUUCCAGACCCGGAAGGACGGCUCGCUCCCGCCUCACGUGCACUACAAGAUCCGCCAGAACUCCAGCUUCACCGAGAAAACCAACGAGAUCCGCCGCGCCUACUGGCGGCCUGGGCCCAAUACUGGCGGCCGCUUCUACUUCCUCUACGGCUUCGUCUGGAUCCAGGACAUGAUGGAGCGCGCCAUCAUCGACACUUUUGUGGGGCACGACGUGGUGGAGCCAGGCAGCUACGUGCAGAUGUUCCCCUAUCCCUGCUACACACGCGAUGAGUGAGUGCUGGGCGCCCGGGGCUGGGGCUGGGGCUGGGGCUGAGUGGCGCCUGAGCGCGGCCUCCCCGCAGCUUCCUGUUUGUCAUUGAGCACAUGAUGCCGCUGUGCAUGGUGAUCUCCUGGGUCUACUCCGUGGCCAUGACCAUCCAGCACAUCGUGGCGGAGAAGGAGCACCGGCUCAAGGAGGUGAUGAAGACCAUGGGCCUGAACAACGCGGUGCACUGGGUGGCCUGGUUCAUCACCGGCUUUGUGCAGCUGUCCAUCUCCGUGACAGCACUCACCGCCAUCCUGAAGUACGGCCAGGUGCUUAUGCACAGCCACGUGGUCAUCAUCUGGCUCUUCCUGGCCGUCUACGCGGUGGCCACCAUCAUGUUCUGCUUCCUGGUGUCUGUGCUGUACUCCAAGGCCAAGCUGGCCUCGGCCUGCGGUGGCAUCAUCUACUUCCUGAGCUACGUGCCCUACAUGUACGUGGCGAUCCGAGAGGAGGUGGCGCAUGAUAAGAUCACGGCCUUCGAGAAGUGCAUCGCGGUGAGGGUCGCGGGCAGGCGGGCGGCUGGGGUGCCGGGCCACCCCACGUGCUGACACCACUGCCUUCUCAGUCCCUCAUGUCCACGACGGCCUUUGGUCUGGGCUCUAAGUACUUCGCGCUGUAUGAGGUGGCCGGCGUGGGCAUCCAGUGGCACACCUUCAGCCAGUCCCCGGUGGAGGGGGACGACUUCAACUUGCUCCUGGCCGUCACCAUGCUGAUGGUGGACGCCGUGGUCUAUGGCAUCCUCACGUGGUACAUUGAGGCUGUGCACCCAGGCAUGUACGGGCUGCCCCGGCCCUGGUACUUCCCACUGCAGAAGUCCUACUGGCUGGGCAGUGGGCGGACAGAAGCCUGGGAGUGGAGCUGGCCGUGGGCACGCACCCCCCGCCUCAGUGUCAUGGAGGAGGACCAGGCCUGUGCCAUGGAGAGCCGGCGCUUUGAGGAGACCCGUGGCAUGGAGGAGGAGCCCACCCACCUGCCUCUGGUUGUCUGCGUGGACAAACUCACCAAGGUCUACAAGGACGACAAGAAGCUGGCCCUGAACAAGCUGAGCCUGAACCUCUACGAGAACCAGGUGGUCUCCUUCUUGGGCCACAACGGGGCGGGCAAGACCACCACCAUGUCCAUCCUGACCGGCCUGUUCCCUCCAACGUCGGGUUCCGCCACCAUCUACGGGCACGACAUCCGCACGGAGAUGGAUGAGAUCCGCAAGAACCUGGGCAUGUGCCCGCAGCACAAUGUGCUCUUUGACCGGCUCACGGUGGAGGAACACCUCUGGUUCUACUCACGGCUCAAGAGCAUGGCUCAGGAGGAGAUCCGCAGAGAGAUGGACAAGAUGAUCGAGGACCUGGAGCUCUCCAACAAACGGCACUCACUGGUGCAGACAUUGUCGGGUGGCAUGAAGCGCAAGCUGUCCGUGGCCAUCGCCUUCGUGGGCGGCUCUCGCGCCAUCAUCCUGGACGAGCCCACGGCGGGCGUGGACCCCUACGCGCGCCGCGCCAUCUGGGACCUCAUCCUGAAGUACAAGCCAGGUGAGUGGGGUGCCGUGUGGGCAGGGGUGCGGGCGGCGCCUCCCCUGCCCCCUGACCCUGGGUCUGGCCUUGUCCUAGGCCGCACCAUCCUUCUGUCCACCCACCACAUGGAUGAGGCUGACCUGCUUGGGGACCGCAUUGCCAUCAUCUCCCAUGGGAAGCUCAAGUGCUGCGGCUCCCCGCUCUUCCUCAAGGGCACCUAUGGCGACGGGUACCGCCUCACGCUGGUCAAGCGGCCCGCCGAGCCGGGGGGCCCCCAAGAGCCAGGGCUGGCAUCCAGCCCCCCAGGUCGGGCCCCGCUGAGCAGCUGCUCCGAGCUCCAGGUGUCCCAGUUCAUCCGCAAGCAUGUGGCCUCCUGCCUGCUGGUCUCAGACACAAGCACGGAGCUCUCCUACAUCCUGCCCAGCGAGGCCGCCAAGAAGGGGGCUUUCGAGCGCCUCUUCCAGCACCUGGAGCGCAGCCUGGAUGCACUGCACCUCAGCAGCUUCGGGCUGAUGGACACGACCCUGGAGGAAGUGUUUCUCAAGGUGUCGGAGGAGGACCAGUCGCUGGAGAACAGUGAGGCCGAUGUGAAGGAGUCCAGGAAGGAUGUGCUCCCUGGGGCGGAGGGCCCGGCGUCUGGGGAGGGUCACGCUGGCAAUCUGGCCCGGUGCUCGGAGCUGACCCAGUCGCAGGCAUCGCUGCAGUCAGCGUCAUCUGUGGGCUCUGCCCGUGGCGACGAGGGAGCUGGCUACACCGACGUCUACGGCGACUACCGCCCCCUCUUUGAUAACCCACAGGACCCAGACAAUGUCAGCCUGCAAGAGGUGGAGGCAGAGGCCCUGUCGAGGGUCGGCCAGGGCAGCCGCAAGCUGGACGGCGGGUGGCUGAAGGUGCGCCAGUUCCACGGGCUGCUGGUCAAACGCUUCCACUGCGCCCGCCGCAACUCCAAGGCACUCUUCUCCCAGAUCUUGCUGCCAGCCUUCUUCGUCUGCGUGGCCAUGACCGUGGCCCUGUCCGUCCCCGAGAUUGGUGAUCUGCCCCCGCUGGUCUUGUCACCUUCCCAGUACCACAACUACACCCAGCCCCGUGGCAAUUUCAUCCCCUACGCCAACGAGGAGCGCCGCGAGUACCGGCUGCGGCUAUCGCCCGACGCCAGCCCCCAGCAGCUCGUGAGCACGUUCCGGCUGCCGUCGGGGGUGGGUGCCACCUGCGUGCUCAAGUCUCCCGCCAAUGGCUCGCUGGGGCCCACGUUGAACCUGAGCAGCGGGGAGUCGCGCCUGCUGGCGGCUCGGUUCUUCGACAGCAUGUGUCUGGAGUCCUUCACACAGGGGCUGCCGCUGUCCAAUUUCGUGCCGCCCCCACCCUCGCCCGCCCCAUCUGACUCGCCAGCGUCCCCGGAUGAGGACCUGCAGGCCUGGAACGUCUCCCUGCCGCCCACCGCUGGGCCAGGUAGUGGUUCAGGGGGCCUGCUGGGGGGGCAGGGGCAGUGAGGGGUCCUUCUCACCGCACCACGCUGUGCCCACAGAAAUGUGGACGUCGGCACCCUCCCUGCCGCGCCUGGUACGGGAGCCCGUCCGCUGCACCUGCUCUGCGCAGGGCACCGGCUUCUCCUGCCCCAGCAGUGUGGGCGGGCACCCGCCCCAGAUGCGGGUGGUCACAGGCGACAUCCUGACCGACAUCACCGGCCACAAUGUCUCUGAGUACCUGCUCUUCACCUCCGACCGCUUCCGACUGCACCGGUAUGGGGCCAUCACCUUUGGAAACGUCCUGAAGUCCAUCCCAGCCUCAUUUGGCACCAGGGCCCCACCCAUGGUGCGGAAGAUCGCGGUGCGCAGGGCUGCCCAGGUUUUCUACAACAACAAGGGCUAUCACAGCAUGCCCACCUACCUCAACAGCCUCAACAACGCCAUCCUGCGUGCCAACUUGCCCAAGAGCAAGGGCAACCCGGCGGCUUACGGCAUCACCGUCACCAACCACCCCAUGAAUAAGACCAGCGCCAGCCUCUCCCUGGAUUACCUGCUGCAGGGCACGGAUGUCGUCAUCGCCAUCUUCAUCAUCGUGGCCAUGUCCUUCGUGCCAGCCAGCUUCGUUGUCUUCCUCGUGGCCGAGAAGUCCACCAAGGCCAAGCACCUGCAGUUUGUCAGCGGCUGCAACCCCAUCAUCUACUGGCUGGCAAACUACGUGUGGGACAUGCUCAACUACCUGGUCCCCGCUACCUGCUGUGUCAUCAUCCUGUUUGUGUUCGACCUGCCGGCCUACACGUCGCCCACCAACUUCCCUGCCGUCCUCUCCCUCUUCCUGCUCUAUGGGUAAGCGGGAGCGGAGUGGGGAGCGGCCUCAGGUGGGACCGGGGCUGCCUGGUGACCACUGCCCGCCACCUGCCCGCAGGUGGUCCAUCACGCCCAUCAUGUACCCAGCCUCCUUCUGGUUCGAGGUCCCCAGCUCCGCCUACGUGUUCCUCAUUGUCAUCAAUCUCUUCAUCGGCAUCACCGCCACCGUGGCCACCUUCCUGCUACAGCUCUUCGAGCACGACAAGGACCUGAAGGUUGUCAACAGUUACCUGAAAAGCUGCUUCCUCAUUUUCCCCAACUACAACCUGGGCCACGGGCUCAUGGAGAUGGCCUACAACGAGUACAUCAACGAGUACUACGCCAAGAUUGGUGAGGGGGCCCGUGGGGCGGGGGAGGCGGUGGGGGCCCCGCAAGGCCCAGAGCACAGGCCCUGAGCUGUCUCCCCGCAGGCCAGUUUGACAAGAUGAAGUCCCCGUUCGAGUGGGACAUUGUCACCCGUGGACUGGUGGCCAUGGCGGUUGAGGGCGUCGUGGGCUUCCUCCUGACCAUCAUGUGCCAGUACAACUUCCUGCGGCGGCCACAGCGCAUGCCUGUGUCUACCAAGCCUGUGGAGGAUGAUGUGGACGUGGCGAGUGAGCGGCAGCGAGUGCUCCGGGGAGACGCCGACAACGACAUGGUCAAGAUUGAGAACCUGACCAAGGUCUACAAGUCCCGGAAGAUUGGCCGUAUCCUGGCCGUUGACCGCCUGUGCCUGGGUGUGCGUCCUGGCGAGUGCUUCGGGCUCCUGGGUGUCAACGGUGCGGGCAAGACCAGCACCUUCAAGAUGCUGACCGGCGACGAGAGCACGACGGGGGGCGAGGCCUUCGUCAAUGGACACAGGUGGGGCGGGAGCCCUGGGUGGGCGGGGCCGCCGCGUCGUCACGCGCUGACAGCUGCCGUGUCCCCAGCGUGCUGAAGGAGCUGCUCCAGGUGCAGCAGAGCCUCGGCUACUGCCCGCAGUGCGACGCGCUGUUCGACGAGCUCACGGCCCGGGAGCACCUGCAGCUGUACACGCGGCUGCGUGGGAUCUCCUGGAAGGACGAGGCCCGGGUGAGGAUCUGUGGGGCGGGGCAGGGAGUCAGCACGCUGGGCGGCCCUGCCUCCACUGACACCUGCGUUCCCUGGCCAGGUGGUGAAGUGGGCUCUGGAGAAGCUGGAGCUGACCAAGUACGCAGACAAGCCGGCCGGCACCUACAGCGGCGGCAACAAGCGGAAGCUCUCCACGGCCAUCGCCCUCAUUGGGUACCCAGCCUUCAUCUUCCUGGACGAGCCCACCACAGGCAUGGACCCCAAGGCCCGGCGCUUCCUCUGGAACCUCAUCCUCGACCUCAUCAAGACAGGGCGUUCGGUGGUGCUGACAUCACACAGGUGAGGGCGCCCCCACCCCCUCUUUGUGCCCCCACCCCGCAGCACCCCUUCCGGUGCCAGCCUGUGCAUGUCCCACAGCAUGGAGGAGUGCGAGGCGCUGUGCACGCGGCUGGCCAUCAUGGUGAACGGUCGCCUGCGGUGCCUGGGCAGCAUCCAGCACCUGAAGAACCGGUUUGGAGAUGGCUACAUGAUCACGGUGCGGACCAAGAGCAGCCAGAGUGUGAAGGACGUGGUGCGGUUCUUCAACCGCAACUUCCCGGAAGCCAUGCUCAAGGAGCGGCACCACACAAAGGUGCAGUACCAGCUUAAGUCGGAGCACAUCUCGCUGGCCCAGGUGUUCAGCAAGAUGGAGCAGGUGUCUGGCGUGCUGGGCAUCGAGGACUACUCGGUCAGCCAGACCACACUGGACAAUGUGUUCGUGAACUUCGCCAAGAAGCAGAGUGACAACCUGGAGCAGCAGGAGACGGAGCCGCCAUCCGCACUGCAGUCCCCUCUCGGCUGCUUGCUCAGCCUGCUCCGGCCCCGGUCUGCCCCCACAGAGCUCCGGGCACUUGUGGCAGACGAGCCCGAGGACCUGGACACGGAGGACGAGGGCCUCAUCAGCUUCGAGGAGGAGCGGGCCCAGCUGUCCUUCAACACGGACACGCUCUGCUGACCACCCAGAGCUGGGCCAGGGAGGACACGCUCCACUGACCACUCAGAGCUGGGCCAAGGACUCAACAAUGGGGACAGAAGUCCCCCAGUGCCUGCCAGGGCCUGGAGUGGAGGUUCAGGACCAAGGGGCUUCUGGUCCUCCAGCCCCUGUACUCGGCCAUGCCCUGCGGUCACUGCGGUUGCCGCCCCUAAUUGUGCCAAAGGCUGACCCGGCCCGGGCUGCGCACACCCUUGCCCUGCUUUGCCUUAAAGCCUCGGGGUCUGCCCGGCCCCUCGCCCCUGCCUGGCUCUGCUCACCGCCCAAGGCGACGCCGGCUGGACCAGGCACUGCUGGCCUUUCUCCUGCCCGGCCUCGGAACCAGCUUUUCUCUCUUACAAUGAAGGCUGAUGCCGAGAGCAGGCUGUGGGCGGAGCUGGGUCAGUCCCGUAUUUAUUUUGCUUUGAGAAGAGGCUCUCUGGCCCUGCUCUCCUGCAGGGAGGUGGCUGUCCCGCGGGAAGCCAUCAGCUUGGGCCAGCUGGCAGGUGGCAGGAAUGGAGAAGCUGACCCUGCUG